GUCAGAAUUUUUCACUUUCCCCUAAACAAAGUUUUGCUAAACUAGACAUUUUGUGACAGGUUUCAAGUGGAGCCACAUACUCUAACAGAAAAUUGUGUCCAAGUUUCCCUGCAUAUCACCUUUCUAUCCUGAAAGAGAGACUACUGAGCUACAGAACACAGCUACAAGGACAGAAUACUUUGCCCCGAUCUGUACGUUCCAUUAGAAAUAGGAAUCACACAGGCACAGAGUACUACAACUUUUUUGGAGCUAUUACCAAAACAACUCAUAUCUGCAAGAAAUACGAAUGACCACAGAUCUCAGAGAAACAGUUGUGUACAACACCUCUUAUAAAAUUACAGAAAGCCAUAACUGAAAAUCCCCUUUUAUGAAAAACAAAGGCAUUGUUUUGCUUACAUCUCAGUGUUUUAUAUAUAAAUAAAAAAUAAAUUUGUUCUGCACAAUCG